rnacentral:rRNA from 1 species
GACGAACGCUGGCGGCGUGCUUAACACAUGCAAGUCGAACGAAGAGCGAUGGAAGCUUGCUUCUCUCAAUCUUAGUGGAGAACGGGUGAGUAACGCGUAAUCAACCUGCCCUUCAGAGGGGGACAACAGCUGGACACGACUGUUAAUACCGCAUACGAUCUAACCUCGGCAUCGAGGAUAGAUGUACGGUGGCCUCUCCACGUAAGCUAUCACUGUAGGAGGGGAUUGCGUCUGAUUAGCUAGUUGGCGGGGUAAAGGCCCACCAAGGCGAUGAUCAGUAGCCGGUCUGAGAGGAUGAGCGGCCACAUUGGGACUGAGACACGUCCCAGACUCCUACGGGAGGCAGCAGUGGGGAAUCGUCCGCAAUGGACGAAAGUCUGACGGAGCAACGCCGCGUGAGUGAUGACGGCCUUCGGGUUGUAAAGCUCUGUUAAACGGGACGAACGGCCUUCUUGCGAAUAGUUAUAAGGUUUGACGGUACCGGAAUAGAAAGCCACGGCUAACUACGUG